AGUGAACGCUGGCGGUAAGCCUAACACAUGCAAGUCGAACGGCAGCACAGUAAGAGCUUGCUCUUACGGGUGGCGAGUGGCGGACGGGUGAGGAAUACAUCGGAAUCUACUUUUUCGUGGGGGAUAACGUAGGGAAACUUACGCUAAUACCGCAUACGACCUACGGGUGAAAGCAGGGGAUCUUCGGACCUUGCGCGAUUGAAUGAGCCGAUGUCGGAUUAGCUAGUUGGCGGGGUAAAGGCCCACCAAGGCGACGAUCCGUAGCUGGUCUGAGCGGAUGAUCAGUCACACUGGAACUGAGACGCGGGCCAGACUCCUCCGGGAGGCGCCAGUGGGGAAUAUUGGACAAUGGGCGAAAGUCUGAUCCAGCCAUGCCGCGUGUGUGAAGAAGGUCUUCGGAUUGUAAAGCGCUUUAAGUUGGGAGGAAGAGAAGUAAGUUAAUACCGCGCUGUUUUGACGUUACCAACAGAAUAAGCACCGGCUAACUUCGUG
rnacentral:rRNA from 1 species